rnacentral:rRNA from 1 species
GACGAACGCUGGCGGCGUGCUUAACACAUGCAAGUCGAACGGAAAGGCCCUGCUUUUGUGGGGUGCUCGAGUGGCGAACGGGUGAGUAACACGUGAGUAACCUGCCCUUGACUUUGGGAUAACUUCUGCAAACUGGGGCUAAUACCGGCUAGGAGCUCCUGCUGCAUGGUGGGGGUUGGAAAGUUUCGGCGGUUGGGGAUGGACUCGCGGCUUAUCAGCUUGUUGGUGGGGUAGUGGCUUACCAAGGCUUUGACGGGUAGCCGGCCUGAGAGGGUGACCGGCCACAUUGGGACUGAGAUACGGCCCAGACUCCUACGGGAGGCAGCAGUGGGGAAUAUUGCACAAUGGGCGGAAGCCUGAUGCAGCAACGCCGCGUGCGGGAUGACGGCCUUCGGGUUGUAAACCGCUUUCGCCUGUGACGAAGCGUGAGUGACGGUAAUGGGUAAAGAAGCACCGGCUAACUACGUG